UACGUAGGGGGCAAGCGUUGUCCGGAUUUAUUGGGCGUAAAGCGCGCGCAGGCGGCCUUUUAAGUCUGAUGUGAAAGCCCACGGCUUAACCGUGGAAGGUCAUUGGAAACUGGAAGGCUUGAGUACAGAAGAGGAAAGCGGAAUUCCACGUGUAGCGGUGAAAUGCGUAGAGAUGUGGAGGAACACCAAUGGCGAAGGCAGCUCACUGGGACGGUAUUGACGCUGAGACGCGAAAGCGUGGGGAGCAAACAGG
rnacentral:rRNA from 1 species